AAAUAAGCUGCUUGGAAUGAAUGACAGAGAUGAACAAAUAAGUCCACAGUAAAUGACACAUGAUGAAUAUGUGAAGAAAGAAAAACACUAAAAGAAUCAACUGAGCUGUAAAAGAGCAGUUUAUGGACUGUUAUUGGUGUUCAUCCCUCAGAUAUUUGACUGGGAAAAAACAAGGUGGAAUAAAGUCCAAUGUGCUUCAUUAAACUCUGUCUGGGCUCCAAGGCUUCAGCUGACAUGCUUCCAGGACACUUUGUUCUCAUCAGCUCAAUGUGCUGCAGGUAGAGAAGCUCAACAACUUUGACUGCAGCUGGAAAUAGAAAGUCAACUGAAAUAGAAUCCUGCACCGACACAAACAUCCUGAAACUUCCUGCACACUCUGCAACCUGACAUCAACCUCCAACAG